rnacentral:rRNA from 1 species
UACAGAGGUCUCAAGCGUUUGUUCGGAUUCAUUGGGCGUAAAGGGUGCGUAGGCGGCGCGGUAAGUCGGGUGUGAAAUCUCGGGGCUUAACUCCGAAACUGCAUUCGAUACUGCCGUGCUUGAGGACUGGAGAGGAGACUGGAAUUUACGGUGUAGCGGUGAAAUGCGUAGAUAUCGUAAGGAAGACCAGUGGCGAAGGCGGGUCUCUGGACAGUUCCUGACGCUGGAGGCACGAAGGCCAGGGGAGCAAACGGG